rnacentral:rRNA from 1 species
GACGGAGGAUGCAAGUGUUAUCCGGAAUCACUGGGCGUAAAGCGUCUGUAGGUGGUUUGAUAAGUCAACUGUUAAAUCUUGAAGCUCAACUUCAAAAUCGCAGUCGAAACUAUUAGACUAGAGUAUAGUAGGGGUAAAGGGAAUUUCCAGUGGAGCGGUGAAAUGCGUAGAUAUUGGAAAGAACACCGAUGGCGAAGGCACUUUACUGGGCUAUUACUGACACUCAGAGACGAAAGCUAGGGUAGCAACUGGG